GAUAAAACAACAACGACAGCAAGAAAAAGGAAAGAUAAGUAAAGCUUUGAUAGAUAUUUUAAUAACCCACUACCCGGUGAAAUUUUAAAAACAAUCAUGUAUCAUUUUAAAUGACUUAGUUUGUAUAAUAUGUGAAAGUAGAGUUUCACAGUAGUCUUUAAAAACAACGCUUUUAAAAUCUGAACUGCUUUCCUUUCCUUCUAAAUAGAACACACAUCAUACAGAAUGAAAACAUCUACAUCAAACUGAGCAACAGACAGAUUUGAAAUAUAAAGUGCAAUUUCAUAUUCAAGUUGUUUCCACAGCAAGUGAAAAGUCAUGAACAAAGGUUAUUGAAAAGAUCACUGAAAAGAAGAAUUUUGAUCCCUAAGGAAAGACUUCCUUGUGUAGAAGGAGAUCUAGAAGAAAGAGGAAGAGCUGUUGUUAAAGAAAUGCAGCUUAAUCCCUGAAAAGAGAGGUUAACAUUCCUUUCUUCUUCAUACUUCCAAUUAAGGUUGAGCCAAAAAUAAAAUACGAAGGAUGACUUGACUUUUUCUUUUU
rnacentral:lncRNA from 1 species